AUACACAGAAAAGCGUCCCACCAUUUUCUUUGAGAAACAGUAUCAGUACCUCCGGUCUGCUUCCUUCUCCUCCAAGAACCACCAGCUAAACUGUCGUACACGCUUUAAACCUCUAAUUUCAACCCCCCCCCUCCCCCCUUCUCUUUUCUUUCUCUCUCUACCUUACUCUCUGUAACUCUGCUUUCUCUCUCUGCCACACUCUCUGUAAUCAGAGUGUAAGUUUUCUCUCUCUAAAACCGCACCAUGGGAGAAGAAGCUAGGGAAGUCGGCUCCUCGGCAACCAGUCCGAGACCUUCAGUGACGAUCGGCUCGUCGCUAAUUUCGAUGAUCAACAAGCUCCAGGAUUCUCGCGCCGGUGGUCAGCGACAAGCCGCAGAUUUCGCUGCCUCAGGUGGCGGUCGUGGGAAGCCAGAGCAGCGGGAAGUCGAGCGUCCUCGAAGCCCUGGUCGGCCGAGACUUCCUCCCCCGCGGCCGCGACAUCUGCACUCGCCGCCCGCUCGUGCUGAUGCUCGAGUAUCGCGCGGAAGAACCCGGCGAUGAGCACACCGAGUGGGGAGAGUUCCGCCACUUGCCCGGAAAACGCUUCUACGACUUCUCCGCAAUCCGCCGCGAAAUUCAGGCCGAGACGGAUAGGGAGGCCGGAUUGAACAAAGGGGUUUCGGAUAAGCAAAUCCGGCUGAAGAUUACCUCUCCGAAUGUGCUUAAUAUGACACUGGUUGAUUUGCCCGGAAUCACGAAAGUUCCGGUGGGAGAUCAACCGAGAGACAUAGAAGCAAUGAUUAGGAAGAUGAUUAUGGACUAUAUUACACAGCAAAACUGUAUUAUUUUGGCUGUUAGUCCUGCGAAUUCCGAUUUGGCAACCUCCGAUGCGCUUCAGAUGGCUAGAGAAGCCGACCCAAAUGGUUUCCGCACAAUCGGUGUGAUCACCAAGCUUGAUAUAAUGGACAGGGGCACCGAUGCCUGUAACUUUUUGCUUGGGAAAGUUAUUCCGCUAAAGCUCGGUUAUGUUGGUGUUGUGAAUCGUAGCCAGGAGGACAUCAAUAAAAACCGUGGGAUUGCUGCUGCACUUGCAUACGAGGAGAAAUUCUUCAAUGAGCACCCUGUGUAUAGUAACCUCUCGGAUCGUUGCGGCAUGCCCCAGUUAGCAAGGAACCUGAAUCAGAUUCUGGAGCAGCAUAUCAAAAGGGUUCUCCCUGAUUUGAAGGCUCGGUUGAAUUCUCAAAUGGUUUCUGUUUCCAAAGAACUGCAGGCAUAUGGGCAACCUUUAGAAUCUAAAAUGGCGCAGGGAGUGGUUUUGUUGAACAUUUUAACAAAAUAUUGCGAAGCUUUUGCUGCCAUGUUGGAGGGAAAAAGUCAGGAGAUGUCAACCAAAGAAUUAUCAGGAGGUGCUAGGAUCCACUACAUUCUCCAGUCAAUUUUUGUAAAAAGCUUGGAGGGUGUGGAUCCCUGCGACGAUCUAACUGAUGAUGAUAUUCGAACGGCUAUUCAAAACGCUUCUGGUGCAAAAAAUGCUUUAUUUGUGCCUGAGGUCCCAUUUGAAUUUUUAGUAAGAAGACAAAUUGCUCGGUUGCUAGACCCAAGCUGUCAGUGUCUUCAUUUUGUUUAUGAUGAACUUGUGAAGAUAAGCCGCGCUUGCGAGGUAAUUGAGUUGCAAAGGUUUCCAGUAUUGAGAAAGUGUCUGGAUGAAGUCGUGGUAAACUUUUUGCGGGAAGGGGCAAAGCCUGCCCUGAGAAUGAUAGAAAAUCUUAUUGAGAUGGAGGUGGAUUAUAUAAACACUUCGCAUCCACGUUUUAUAGGUGGGAAGAAAGCUUCUGAGCUUGCUAUGCAGCAGUUGAAAGCACAAAAGGGUGUUACGGAUGUUGAAGGCCAGACAUCUCGAACUGUUCAGGCUAAGACAGUUAUGAAUGGAAUUUUACCUUACCAAGUAUGCCUUUCAUUUUUAGUUGACAAUAUUACAAGACGGAAACUGGGUAGUCCAAACAAAAAGAGAAAGGAAAGACAAAAGGAUGGCAGAGUUGAAAACAGAAAGGGGAGAACAACCCCCCAGAACCAUAGAAGAAAGGCCCUUAAGAAAUUGGAGGGAAGUCGUCCUCAGCUGAAUAACGAGAAUCCAGUAUCUUCUGGUAAACUCAUGUCUACUAUUUCCAAGCAUACUGCUGCCUUUGGUUCUACAAGGACUUGGGGUAUUCCGUCUAUAUUUGGGAGUAGGACAUCAGCUGUACAGUCUGGCGGACGUUUUGGUGAACAAAGUCAUUCGGAGUCAAUGCCCUCUACAAUCAAUUUGAGAGAGCCACCGUCCAUCUUAAGGCCAACUGAAACGACAGACAAUGAGGCAGCGGAAAUUAUUAUAACCAAAUUACUCUUGCAAUCCUAUUAUGACAUUGUCAGAAAGAACAUGCAAGACCUAGUUCCAAAAGCUAUAAUGCACUUUCUGGUCAAUUCUACAAAACAGAACCUUCAGACAGCAUUUAUUCAAAAACUGUACAGAGAGAACAUGUUUGAUGAACUGUUGAAGGAGCACGAUGAACUUGUUUCAAAAAGGAAACGUAACGAAAAGUUGUUCGAGGUUUUCAAGCAGUCUCUUCAGACACUCGAGAAGGUCGAAUUUGAUGUUUCAUCCCAAACUUCAAGUUUGGGCACUGAUUUUUCGGUUGGACUGCCAAGGAUUCCGAGUACUUUGCCCGAUCUGCACAAAACAUCUGAGAUAAUCCAGUUUACGCACCAUUCGUUUUCCAUGCCAUACACGACUGACACCACAGCUUGAAGAUCAUUUCGAUGGGAAAAGCAUGCAUUGUCUGCAUGGCUUGAUAUCAUAUACCGGUUCAUUUGGCGCUUACCUACAGCGUCCUUCUCCUGUAUCCUUUUUUUGGCAUAUGUAAGAUGAUUAAAGAGUAUGUGUAGGGAGUUUUGAUGUAUUUCCCUAACCUUCAAUUGUACCAUCUAUAACGAUCGCUGCUGCGAGAGUUUCGUUUGCAAGCGAGGUACACAGGAUAAUGAAACUAUCUGAUAACGCA